rnacentral:piRNA from 1 species
UAAAAAAGGAUGAAAUUUAUC